UAAAACACCCCUAAAGCAUGUUGUACAACCCUCUAAAGCACAAUAUAAUUUACAAUCCCAAUUAUGCCCUUCACUCAAAAAAACACACGGGGUACACAAUUAGGGUUUCUCAUUCUCAUAGCAUUUUAUCCGCCCCAUCGAGCUGCUUUAUCUCAAGGCGAGUCAAAAGGAGAUCUAGGGUUUCUCUUGGCGAUGCAAGAUCUAGCUUUCUCAAUGACACCAGAUCAGCGAAUCUCUCUCUAUACGACACCCAAUCGACUGAGUUUGAAGGUGGUGAAGGGUUUGGAUCUGCCAAUCAAUGAAGUAUGAGCAAGGGGGUGUUUGGUCUGCCAAUCGGUGAUGUAUGAGCAAGAUUUCACAAGAUCUAAAGACGGCGUGGUGUGUAGUUUUAAAUCCGACGACUACGGUUCCAGUGAUAUAAUUCUCAAGCCGAUCGGUGGCAAUAGAGACGAGUUCCGAUUUUAGAUGGUGGUUGAGGUAGGUUCCGACAAACUGAGUUGCAGAUCUAGGUUUCACCAGUUGGCGUAGGCGAUACUGCAUCAUCAAAAUGGAUAUCUACGCAUUUUUGGUUGUUUCUCUGCUUUAGAUCCUUCUUUUCUCACUUUUUUGUAUUCUUGAACGCCUUUUUCUCGCAAAUUUAAUUUCGGAUUAAUGCAGGGUUUGACUGUUAAAGAGAUGGAAGAGCUUCAGGAAGACAUAAAAAUGCAUUUGGGGUUUAUGAACUUAUCUCAGCUAAGGACUCCAUUAUCAGAACAAGUGAGCCUGAUGCUGAACCGAAGGGCCUUAUUGCCUUGAUCCAGAAGUUGACUUGGUCAAGUUGAUUGACCCUAGGCUAGGGGAUAACUACUUUAUGGUUUCAGUGCAUAAGGUGCAUAUUAGUGAUUAUGGUGGAAUACUUGAAUUUGGGAUACGGUCGAACACUAUUAAUUAAUCAUCCCACAUCCUGCAGCAAAACGCAGCAAACGACUGUGUUUUUACACUCAUUUGCUGAUGCGUUUGCAGCCGUGAACGCGCCGUUAAACGGCUGCAAACGACAUCGUUUUUACACCCGUUUGCUGCUGCAUUUGCAGUCGUAAACGCGCCGUUAAACGGCUGCAAACGCGGCAGCAAACAGGUGCAAAAACGCAGCCGUUUGCAGCCCUUUAACGGCGCGUUUACGGCUGCAAACUCAGCAGCAAACGGGUGUAAAAAUACAACCGUUUACUGCCGCGUUUGCAGCCGUAAACGCUUCGUUAAAUGGAUGCAAACGCGGUAGCAAACGGCUGUGUUUUUACACCUGUUUGCUGCUGCGUUUGCAGCCGUAAACACGCCGUUAAACGGCUGCAAACGCGGCAACAAAUGAGUGCAAAAAUGCAGCCGAACAUCAAGCUCUGGUUUGUGACUGAAUGAGUUUGAUAUCUUGUUGAUUUGUUCGGUGGGUUUCGAUUUCCGGAUCUGGUUUAGUUUCAUUUGCUGACCUGCAAUGCAAAUAAAAGACAUCAUCGUUACUUGAAGGAUUACCUGUGAUUGCGUUUGUUCAGAAGAAACUGAGAAAUGCAUGCAAAUAAUGUGGCAAGUGGUGCACCCGAAACUUGGCCCCAAUGCCAUCAUGCAAGAUUUACUGUUUAUGUGCAUGCCUCAAGAGAACAACCGCCUCAUGUUAGUCCAUACUUCAAUGGUAGAAAUAUAAGAAGUGAAAAGAUCGUAUAGAUCUAUACGGGUCGUAUUGAUUCAAAAGUUAAAAGUCAACGCCUAGAUUUAUUAAAGAUUCGCGAUAAAACAGGUGGAAAUCUCCUAGGUUUGGGCCAAAUCUUGAAGGAGUGACAUCCCACAUCAGAUUGUACAACAUGCCAUGAUGAUGUCACCCUUAAGAGCCCAAAUCUUAGUGAUUUUAGGGUGAAAAGUGGGAUUUUGAUGAAGAUUCAAGUAAGAAAGUGCAUAGUGAUGAUACUUGUACAAUAAUUCCAGAGAAAACUUACAAGAAUCGCUUGAAAAUGGAAGAAAAGUGCCUUAGAACGGCAGAGUGCGUGCUGGUCGGAGGAGCCUGUCACAUCAAGUGAUGCAGGGUAUUUAUAGUGCCGAGAGGAUAAGGCGGUGUAAGCUCGUUGGAUCGGAUGGCUGUUCGGUCGAAUGGCUUUCCAAUCAUUGUAUUGUAUUUUUGAUAAUUAUAUAUUAUAUAGUAUAUUUAAUUUUAAACUGUCAAAAUGGUCCCUGAGGUUUGGUCACUUUUGUCACUUUAGUCCAAAACUCAAACCUUUUAUAUCUGGGUCCCUAUGGUUUCAAAUUUGUUGUCAUUUUCAUCCAAAAGCAAAACUUGGUCAGCUUUUUUAGUGACCAAAACAUAUUGAAAAUGACCAAAACUUUUGCCAAUGACCAACACCAUAUUGAGAAUGAUAAAAAAACUGGAUCGUAACUGAAAAAUCUGACCUGAUUUUACUUUUGGAUGAAAAUGGCAACAAAAUUGAAACCACAAAGAUCCAGAUUCAAAAGGUUUGAGUUUUGGACUAAAGUGGCAAAUAUGACCAAACCUCAGAGAUCAUUUUUGCAGUUUAAAGGUUUAAGAAAAUUUAUUGUUAUUAUCUUUGAAAUGAUUAAGAACACACUACACACAUACAUAUAUCAGGCCAUGUAAUGUGUUAAUAUUU